CAACUUGUUAAACGUUGUCCAAGGAUGAGAUGGAAUGAAAUGGACACCUUUAGUGUACAGAUAACAUGGACGGAAGUUCUGUUGUAACAAGGCUCACUGUUUCCAAAAUCAAAUCAGUGACAAAACCAUGAAGAUCAUAGGAUUUGGAAGGUGAAAAAUCAUAGCAUUCAGGACUGCAGGUGCCACCAGCUAAUUGGGCUCACUGGGCUCUGAAACUGCAAGGAGGUGCUGUGACAAGUUACUGAGAACCAAGAAACUUUGGUAACCCCUGAAAUUUGGUGAAAAAAUGAAAUCAAAACUGU
rnacentral:lncRNA from 10 species